CUUAUUCUAGAAAUUAAGAGGAAAAAGGCUGUUGUGCGCUGAUCCAUUCACAAGCCGAGUCGAGUCUAACGAUCAAGGAAUCACGUGACGGCACGUGGGUCCGCGACGGAUCGAGACCGUCGAAGAGAUCGAUAAGGUGGAUCGGCGAGGCCCGAUUGGUCCGUCAUCAAGUAGGAAAUCGUGUCAGCCGAAUCUGGAUGUCGUGCCAGUGAAAAUAUUGGUUCGGAGAAUAUGUAGGAGAUGACUUCCGAGUGUCUAGCCGCCUACUAUCCAGG